GGCAGCUGCAGGGGAAGGCUUGCAAACACCAGCACACGGCAGCUGCCCAGGGGAGUCAUCUUUCCUUUUCUUCAUUUCCAGAAAGGGAGGAAAAUGGAUUCCCUGACACACGCUCUGUUUUUCACAUGAAUAAGGAAUAACAACCCCAGCACAGAUAACUCGUAGCUGCUGUAGGUGAACAAGAACAGCAGCAACACUGAGACGUGUGAGAAGGAGUAUAGGAAACCUGUGUGGAGAACAAGAAGAGGGAAAGAAAGGAAGGGGAGUAGGAGAGUGGAAAGAAGAGCUGGGGUUAUCCCAUCUGGAGAACAACAUUCAGCUAAGGCACUGUAGCACCAAGCAGCCUGGCGUGUUUCCAGCAACAGGGUAACCAGGAAAAAAAAACAGACUCUAUAACCCCAGUCAGGAUUUUCAGUUAGUUCAUCUCCUAGACCUUAAUUACUUCAAUGAGUUUGGAGUCUUGAUCUUUAAAAUCAAACUAGAGAAAGAAAACCUCCAAGAUAAUGGUAAGUAAAAACUGCUUCUGUGUUUUCAGUAGUGACCUAAAAGCCUGCAAGACCUGUUUUUAAACAAGGUCCCUUUGUCAAAGCACAUUUACCUGUAAAAACUACAGUUUCAUUUUUCUGUAGAGACAAACCAGACAAAACAGCUUUGAAAACAAUCUCUGAAACACUGCCUCAGCCAUGCCUUCUAGGAAUUUGGUGAGGAGCAGAUCCUGAAGUUGAAGGCUGAACAUAGAGUUCCUGAAUGUAUGAAGUCUGGGCACCAUUUUCCAACUUUUCCUUUCAAGCAAAGUUUCUUCCGCAUUGCCUGUGACACAGGCCAUUCUUUGCAGUAAAAACUCAAGAAGCUUUGUGACACCAGAUGUAAUCACCACUGUCCAGUUCCUCAGUCCUGCUGACACUGGGAACACUGGUACCACAAGAGACCAAAUGUCAAUUCUGUAAUACAUCAGAGCUGUAAAGCACAGCCACAAAGGUCUCCUGUUGAUUGAGACAAGAAAAAUCCAAACCUAGGGCAAUUUUAGAAUGCAGAUAUUAAGUGUGAAAUAUAAUUUAAGUGAUAAGAAGAUUUGAAGGAAAAUAUCAUAAAAUCAUUAAGGCCUGAAAAGACCACUAAGACCACCUUGUCCAGCCAUCAACCCACCAUAAGAAAAAAAAAAAAUCAAGCGAUGAACCACACUCUUCCCACAGUGUUGUCACUAUGAGAAGGCAACCCUUGCCUCCAGCAGGUGGAUCUAACCUGCCAUCCCCUUCAAAUAUCACAGAAGCAACAAUUUGGCAUAAAACAAAAGGGAUUUUUCAAACAAGCAUGAAAACAUUCAAGACAUUUAAGAGGAGACAAGCUUCUAGGAUUUAGCAACAAAAAUGUGGUAGAGAACAAGGAUUUGGAGUUUGGUAGGUAAAGUUACUAUAGACAGCUUUGGAUGGAUCUUCAGUAGGGAUGGCUUAACAACAGGAGUUUCUCAACAGGCAUCCCAAACUUCAAAAGCCCAGUCUGGCUAUUUCUCCCAGCCUUGGGUUGUGCAAAUGGCUGCAAAAACUUGGCAACUGAAGUCCAUUUUACAGAGAGCAAGUGUGAUCACACAUACCACCAGCAGGACUUCCCAGAUGCAAAGAGAAGACAAGAUUGGGAAUCCCAUGCGGGGGUGGUGAUGGCUCUUCCCUGGUGAACAGGGUUUACUGACAAAGGUGAAAUCUUGACAAUUUCCUGGGUGCUGCCUGGAUGGAUACAGAGGUUAUGUGGGCUGUGAUACUGCAGGCUGUGUCCAAAAGAAGCCCAAAGUACAGGAGGACGAUAAAUGUUAGGCGAGAGCCAGGCACAGAGGCAACCUUUAUGCAGUUUGCAACUCCUUCUGUUGGUACAUGCUUCUGGAGGACAAAGCAGCAGCUCUGCCAGCAUGAUUUCACACCACCUCACUUGAACCAGGAGCAGGUUACCAUCAUUUGUCACAAAACCUCCUAGAUGCCUCAGUUUCACAUGUAUUUCACUCAUUCUUUCUAGUUUGCUGUUUCUAGACCUUCAUAUAGUAAGUACUUGCAAUGAAUGUGUUCUCAUUUAACAUUAUUCUGUAAAACAAAACAGGCUUUUCUACUUUCAGCUACCUAAAAAAGUACCUUUUGGGUAUAUCGAACAAGGAAGGUAAGAACACAGGUUACAAUACAGUUGUUAAAGUAACCACAUUCAUACAAUGAAUAAGUAUUGAUUUCUCCAUCAACCAUAGCUUUCCCUCUUUCUGUUCAUGUAUUCCAUCUUUCUGAAUUGCAUGCAUUUUCACUGUAAAAAAAAUAAAUGAGUAUAUAUAUUUGGC